GAUGAACGCUGGCGGCGUGCCUAAUACAUGCAAGUCGAGCGAACAGACGAGGAGCUUGCUCCUCUGACGUUAGCGGCGGACGGGUGAGUAACACGUGGAUAACCUACCUAUAAGACUGGGAUAACUUCGGGAAACCGGAGCUAAUACCGGAUAAUAUAUUUAACCGCAUGGUUCAAUAGUGAAGGACGGUUUUGCUGUCACUUAUAGAUGGAUCCGCGCCGCAUUAGCUAGUUGGUAAGGUAACGGCUUACCAAGGCAACGAUGCGUAGCCGACCUGAGAGGGUGAUCCGCCACACUGGAACAGAGACACGGUCCAGACUCCUACGGGAGGCAGCAGUAGGGAAUCUUGAGCCAUGGGCGAAAGCCUGACGGAGCAACGCCGCGUGAGUGAUGAAGGUCUUCGGAUCGUAAAACUCUGUUAUUAGGGAAGAACAAAUGUGUAAGUAACUAUGCACGUCUUGACGGUACCUAAUCAGAAAGCCACGGCUAACUACGUG
rnacentral:rRNA from 1 species